rnacentral:lncRNA from 1 species
CUGAUGUAGAAUCCUACAUAUUUGGGACUCAGUGAUCAAGAAUCAAGAUUCUCUGAUCAUGAGUUCCACACAUUAUGGGUACCGGGGUCAAGAGUCCCACUGGUUAGGAUUUUUCGAUCAGGGUUACAUAUCGAUGAAUUCUGAUGCCCGAUUGCCCAUCGGAUUUGGACUCAGUAUUUAUGAGAGAUUUAAUUAGUGAUUUGAUCACUAAUUAACUUAAUUUGAUUGAGUAAUUAUUUUCGAAUCAAGUUCAAUUGAAUUGGAUUCAGUUGGGUUUGACCCGAUUAGGUUAAGAGUUGAUCUAAUCGUCAAGAUGGUUUGGUCCCUGAUUUGAUCAGGGGUUGGGCUUAGUCAAUUCCUGAUUUGAUUAGGAUUUUAUUGAGCCUAAUUAAGCCUAAUUAAGUUAGGUUUAAAUUAGUCUAAUUUGACCUAACUUAUUUGGUUCAAUUAGGUUGGUUUAAAUAAUUAAACCACCUUGACCCAAUCUCCAUGCGCCACCUCACUUCCAUUGCACCCAUUUGAAUUCAUGAGAAGGAACUUCUCAUGAAUUAUUUUCUCACGCCAAGCCCUCUCCACGCCCCACUUUAAUGUACCAUAUGAAUGGAUAAGGAUGAUUGGUUGGCCAUUCAAAUUCAAAAUAAAGUUUGAAUUUGAAUGGGCAAUCAAUCUUUGCACCU